UGCAGUCGACGGCAGCACGGGUGCUUGCACCUGGUGGCGAGUGGCGAACGGGUGAGUAAUACAUCGGAACAUGUCCUGUAGUGGGGGAUAGCCCGGCGAAAGCCGGAUUAAUACCGCAUACGAUCUACGGAUGAAAGCGGGGGACCUUCGGGCCUCGCGCUAUAGGGUUGGCCGAUGGCUGAUUAGCUAGUUGGUGGGGUAAAGGCCUACCAAGGCGACGAUCAGUAGCUGGUCUGAGAGGACGACCAGCCACACUGGGACUGAGACACGGCCCAGACUCCUACGGGAGGCAGCAGUGGGGAAUUUUGGACAAUGGGCGAAAGCCUGAUCCAGCAAUGCCGCGUGUGUGAAGAAGGCCUUCGGGUUGUAAAGCACUUUUGUCCGGAAAGAAAUCCUUGACYCUAAUACGGUCGGGGGAUGACGGUACCGGAAGAAUAAGCACCGGCUAACUACGUGCCAGCAGCCGCGGUAAUACGUAGGGUGCGAGCGUUAAUCGGAAUUACUGGGCGUAAAGCGUGCGCAGGCGGUUUGCUAAGACCGAUGUGAAAUCCCCGGGCUCAACC
rnacentral:rRNA from 1 species